rnacentral:lncRNA from 1 species
GUAUACACAGAAUCAGAUUUGAUUGCAGAAUCGAAUCUUGAGCCAAUAAAGGCACCAUUGAGAAGAUCCGAUAGAGUACCACAUCAACCAAAUAGAUACUAUGAUUUCUUGAUCUAGGAUGAUGAUCCUAUUGAACUAGAUGAGAAUGAUGAGGAUCCAAUCACCUAUAUAGAAGCCAUGCAAAGGUCCGACUCUCAAAAAUAGCUUGAGGCCAUGA